CAGAAGUAUCAACUUUAAUUGGAACAAAGAAAUGAAGAGGUUCUGGAUUAUCCACCUGCAUCAGUUGCUGAUGUUAUCGAAAGAUAGAUAAAUGAUACGAACAAUAGCAAUGACGAUAUGUAUGUAAAAGUGGUGUUGAAGAAUCUAGAGAUGAAACAGCAAUAGAAGCUAGGAUGAGCGAGACACAUAUAGCUGCACACUUACAGCUUUUUAUGUAGCUUUAACCGACAAUUAUUGAUUAGUGCCAUUACACCGACGGUUGUCGGUAAGCAUGUACAGAAUAACGGGUUCUACAUAAGUUGCAGACACUCCACCGCCAAACGGAAUAUUUUUGCGAUUUAUUAUAGAAUGCCCACGAGGAUCCUGGAUAUGUAUUCUGUAAACGUUUUUUGUUCUUAACGAAAAUGUCGUUACACAGCUUUUUUGCUAUGUAAAAUAUUUACGCGACACCGACAUCGUUCCAACUAUCGUUAAGAACAAAAAGCGUGUACAGAAUACAUAUCUUGUACAUGCUUUUUCUUAAUAAUCAUAGUUGUCGAUGUCGUGGUGUAGAUAUUUUAUAUGAUAAAAAGCUGCGCAACGAUAAGGUAACGAUACUAACACUAUCGUUAAGAGUUUCAGAAUUCUGCUGCAGAACCCUUAAAGAUAGCUGUAUUUUUAAUCUGCUUUUAGAUUAGGUUCAAUAAGAUAAUAAUAAAAUUAGGUAUAAGUUUCUUA